GGCCCCUGGUUCUGUUAAUAUCCUAGUUAUAUAAUAUAAAUUAUAAUGUAAGGUAUUUUAUCAAGUAAAGAUUAAUUU